rnacentral:rRNA from 1 species
GACGAACGCUGGCGGCGUGCUUAACACAUGCAAGUCGAGCGGUAAGGCCCUUCGGGGGUACACGAGCGGCGAACGGGUGAGUAACACGUGGGUGACCUGCCCUCAGCUCUGGGAUAAGCCUGGGAAACCGGGUCUAAUACUGGAUAUGACUCCAUGACGCAUGUUGGUGGGGUGGAAAGCCUUGUGCGGCUGAGGAUGGGCCCGCGGCCUAUCAGCUUGUUGGUGGGGUGANGGCCUACCAAGGCGACGACGGGUAGCCGGCCUGAGAGGGCGACCGGCCACACUGGGACUGAGACACGGCCCAGACUCCUACGGGA